rnacentral:rRNA from 1 species
CCUACGGGCGGCAGCCGUGAGGAAUAUUGGUCAAUGGACGAGAGUCUGAACCAGCCAAGUAGCGUGAAGGAUGACUGCCCUAUGGGUUGUAAACUUCUUUUAUAUGGGAAUAAAACGUUCCACGUGUGGGAUUUUGUAUGUACCAUAUGAAUAAGGAUCGGCUAACUCCGUGCCAGCAGCCGCGGUAAUACGGAGGAUCCGAGCGUUAUCCGGAUUUAUUGGGUUUAAAGGGAGCGUAGGUGGAUUGUUAAGUCAGUUGUGAAAGUUUGCGGCUCAACCGUAAAAUUGCAGUUGAAACUGGCAGUCUUGAGUACAGUAGAGGUGGGCGGAAUUCGUGGUGUAGCGGUGAAAUGCUUAGAUAUCACGAAGAACUCCGAUUGCGAAGGCAGUUCACUGGACUGCAACUGACACUGAGGCUCGAAAGUGUGGGUAUCAAACAGGAUUAGAUACCCCUGUAGUC